GACGAACGCUGGCGGCGUGCCUAAUACAUGCAAGUUGAGCGCUGAAGGGUGGUCCUUGUUCCAACUGGAUGAGCAGCGAACGGGUGAGUAACGCGUGGGGAAUCUGCCUUUGAGCGGGGGACAACAUUUGGAAACGAAUGCUAAUACCGCAUAAAAACUUUAAACACAAGUUUUAAGUUUGAAAGAUGCAAUUGCAUCACUCAAAGAUGAUCCCGCGUUGUAUUAGCUAGUUGGUGAGGUAAAUGCUCACCAAGGCGAGGAUACAUAGCCGACCUGAGAGGGUGGUCGGCCACAUUGGGAGUGAGACACGGCCCAAACUCCUACGGGAGGGAGCAGUAGGGGAGCAUUGGCGCUGGACGAAAGUCUGACCGAGCAACGCAGGGUGAGUGAAGAAGGUUUUCGGAUCGUAAGACUCUGUUGGUAGAGAAGAAAGUUGGUGAGAGUGGAAAGCUCAUCAAGUGACGGUAACUACACAGAAAGGGACGGCUAACUACGUG
rnacentral:rRNA from 1 species